CAGUAGCCGCGGUAAUACGUAGGUGGCAAGCGUUGUCCGGAAUUAUUGGGCGUAAAGGGCUCGCAGGCGGUUUCUUAAGUCUGAUGUGAGAGCCCCCGGCUCAACCGGGGAGGGUCAUUGGAAACUGGGGAACUUGAGUGCAGAAGAGGAGAGUGGAAUUCCACGUGUAGCGGUGAAAUGCGUAGAGAUGUGGAGGAACACCAGUGGCGAAGGCGACCCUCUGGUCUGUAACUGACGCUGAGGAGCGAAAGCGUGGGGAGCGAACAGGAUUAGAUACCCCAGUAGUCCCUGUCUCUUAUAC
rnacentral:rRNA from 1 species